UCUAGAGGCUUCGGCAAUGGGGGCAACCCUGACCGAGCGACGCCGCGUGUGGGAUUGAAGGCCUUCGGGUCGUAAACCACUGUCAUUGGGAAAGAAUGCCCGGAUGGCGAAUCCGGGAGGGACGGUACCCAAGAAGGAAGCCCCGGCUAACUCCGUGCCAGCAGCCGCGGUAAUACGGAGGGGGCAAGCGUUGUUCGGAUUUACUGGGCGUAAAGGGUGUGUAGGCGGUUGCGUAAGUCUGGUGUGAAAUCUUCACCGCUUAACGGGAAGAGGUCACUGGAAACUGCGUAACUCGAGUAUGGUAGAGGCAAGCGGAAUUCCUGGUGUAGCGGUGGAAUGUGUAGAUAUCAGGAAGAACACCGGUGGCGAAGGCGGCUUGCUGGGCCAUCACUGACGCUGAGACACGAAAGCGUGGGGAGCAAACGGG
rnacentral:rRNA from 3 species